CAGCAGCCUGACUGCCUUCUUGUCGCUUACACCGUUGCUCCAGAUUCACCAGAUCUCGGAAUGGACCCCAACUGCUCCUGCUCCACCGGCGGCUCCUGCACCUGCUCCAGCUCCUGCGGCUGCAAGAACUGCAAAUGCACCUCCUGCAAGAAGAGCUGCUGCUCCUGCUGCCCCGUGGGCUGCUCCAAAUGUGCCCAGGGCUGUGUCUGCAAAGGUGCCUCGGACAAGUGCACGUGCUGUGCCUGAAGUGACGAACAGUGCUGCUGCCCUCAGGUGUAAAUAAUUUCCGGACCAACUCAGAGUCUUGCCGUACACCUCCACCCAGUUUACUAAACCCCGUUUUCUACCGAGCAUGUGAAUAAUAAAAGCCUG
rnacentral:lncRNA from 1 species